GCUCUGUCUACUUAGGAAAAUAUUUUGUCAGCAGCACUUGAUCAAAGUGGUGUGAUACUGUUUAUACUGUUUAUAUGAGGGUGCACACUGAAAACUAGCCACAAAGAAGCCACUCUGUGUCCCUCUGUCCCUCCGUCUGUCUGUCUGUCCUGUCUUCCACGCACGCGCGCACACACACACCCACAGAGGCAUGAACACACUCAUUUCUGUGUUUGUGCACUCACACAGCUGUGGAUCUUGCACAGGGUUCAACCAAGGUAAAGAUAUGGUAUAUUACGCAAUGGCUUAUAGAUUUUUCCACCACUGGCGGGCCGCCAGUGCUCUCAACAGAGAGAGAAAGAGAGAGAGAGAGAGAGAGAGAGAGAGAAAGGGGAGAAAGGAUCAGAGAGCAGCACACUGUGUUCCACAAAGUCCGACUGACUAACUGGAUUCACUGGCUGCUUUGCUGGGACUGCAGGCCUCGAUGACCAGUAGUUACACUGAGGAAAUAGGGCUAAACAAAAGCAUGGAGCUAAUUGAGGAGGUGGAGGGGGUGGAGGAAGAGGAGCGGGAUGAAGGUGAAGGGGAGUCUGUCCCAAGCAGCUGCACGGAGAACACAGUGCUUUGGCUCUUGUAUCUUCUCAGCCCUCAAUUCCUUGUAGGUUCCUCAUGUUUCCACUGUCUGAUCCACUCAACACUCAUGAACGCUUCGUAGUUAUUCCUACGAAAAGUAAUUCUCUGGAAAUUGUUGCUAUUACACUAAAUUUUAUCUGCUGAUGAAGCAAUGUAGUGUGAAAACCCACAUAGUUCACUAUGGCUCAGGCAGGAGGGGACGUAUAAAUAAACCCAAGACUUUAAACCAGGA